AGUCACUAUGGUUUCCAUUUGAAAUUACCCAAGUUCUAGAGCUGUCCCGCUGGCAAGCGGCUCUACAGGAAUUACCACGGACACUGCUUCUUGAUACAUAUCUUGCUUUCUGUUUUGCUUUGGCUCUAAAUGCCAAAUAUAAAAAUCAUGUCAUUUUCAGUUUCAUUUAAGAAACGGACCCUUGAUUGUCAUGACGAGUCCACUGGAGGUUACUGUCUGGAAUCCUGCACCCACCCACAGCUGAGAAAGAAAAAAAUAUUUUGAAAACAAUUCUAAAAGAAAAAUAAGAGGUGGAAAAGCUUAGGUACCAGGCAUUCACACUUCAUCAUUCCUUGUACAGUGUUGACCGGACUACUUGCCUGGUCCCAGACCAGUGUUCAGCACCGGGGAGAUGUAGUGGUGAGCAGGACAGAGAAGGCCACCACCUGCUCUGAGCAGGUGAAGGAAGACAGACAAUUAAAUGAGCAAUUGCAAUGGCAUGUGCUGGAGGAGAAGAGCUCUGCAGUUUACUACAAAGAGGCCAAGUGAGGGUGACCACUGGGAGAGGGGAGAGGCUACAUUACCUGGAGGAAAUUUGUGGUUCUCAAAUGCUGAGCUCUAAAUGUGUCAUCUAAUCUAAGGGUAUCAUGUCUGCCCUUGAUUGCUAGGAAAACACUAGAGUUCUAGGGUAAGACAUUGGGUGAAGCGAGGUGGGGAUGCCUCUUUGUUUUUCCAUCCAUAUGCAACUGCAGGAUGUACAGCACACUGUUUGUUACUUGGGCCAGUACCUAUAUCAAGAGAGGACAUUGGAUUUGAAAAAGAAAAAGAAAGUUCUACCCUCAGGGAACUUAUUUAAUAAGGAUGUAAUGUGACAUUUUAAAAUCAA
rnacentral:lncRNA from 1 species